CAUCAGUGUGUUCAGCCCAGAGCCAACUAUUCUUUCGCCUUUUAGUAAAGAAUACUGUGCGGGACACAUAAGCGACUUGUUCAAAUAUUUGGAACGCACCUUCGGUGGAGCAA
rnacentral:snRNA from 1 species